rnacentral:rRNA from 1 species
UACGUAGGGUGCAGGCGUUAAUCGGAAUUACUGGGCGUAAAGCGUGCGCAGGCGGUUUGCUAAGACAGGUGUGAAAUCCCCGGGCUAACCUGGGAACUGCGCUUGUAACUGGCAAGCUAGAGUGUGGCAGAGGGGGGUGGAAGUUCCGACGUGUAGCAGUGAAAUGACGUAGAGAUGUGGAGGAACACCGAUGGCGAAGGCAGCCCCCUG